UAUAGCAGUAAAAUUCUUUGAAGGAAAUACCUGAGUAUUAAAACUUAAGAGAUUUCAUUCCUUACCUGAAGUGCUGGCAGCAGCGCUGAUGCCAGUAGGACAUCAGCCUUGUACAAGGAUUACUUGCAGGAUCAGUUUUUUGUUCUUUUUACUAACUCUGUCAAGAGCCUGGCUUAACUUUCUGAAAUGAAAAGUGAGCAAAUUGGUCUGUUCUUGACUCAUAUUGCCAAAUAUCCUUGAGUCCUUAGGAGAAGUAAGAUAAUCUAACGGCACUAUCGAGGGCGAAUGGCUUUCUAGAUAGAUAACAGCUGAAUGUUACAUAUCGUUGCCUUUCAUCAAGAUACUAAAGCCAUAGUGGAAGGGUUAGAUUUCUAACUCAAACAGUAAACUGAAACCAGAUGGGGCCCUUUGAUAAAAAGAACGUCUGUGUUGGCUAUUUGAUUACCUGCCAGCUAUUGUAUUUCACGUCAGUGGGUUUUUUUUUUUCCCCAUCAUGCUGAACAGCUAGCCAGUUCUGUUCAUACCACUUUUAUUGUGAUAAUGAUGGGCAAGAAUACUGUUGGAAUUAAAAUCUGAACUCUGGUUGCAGUUGUUGUAGGGUUGCUUAAGUGUUAGGUGUAUGUUUAGUUUCAUUGAUGUAGAGGUGCUGCUCUUUAUUUUGAUGAUCAGAAGCUAUAAUUACUUUGUGCAAAUGUGUUAACCUGGAAAGCAGUAUUUUUUGGCUUCUCUUCCCUGUUACCCAUAUAGAAAAGGGGCAUAACAAAAUUAAUUUUGUUACUAAAAUAGUCCUAAAAAUGCUAGACUUAAGUCCUUUUUCUUGUUGCUGUAACUAUCUCUAUCAUAUCUGGACUUUUGCUGUCUCGUCUCGACCUUUAUUGUGUUUAAGUUUAAUGAAUCUUUUUUUAAUGCCAUUCUGAGAUAAGAAUCAUUAUACAUGAUUCUAUUUCAAGUUUUCUUCCAGAAUUUUGAUAGUGGGUCUUGGGAACUGAGAGGGAAAGUGGAGAUGGUUUCUUUAAAGACAUUGGGCACCUUCUCCCAAACUUCAUACCCCACCCCACCCCACCCCACCCCAAGAUA